rnacentral:rRNA from 1 species
UACAGAGGGUGCGAGCGUUAAUCGGAAUUACUGGGCGUAAAGCGUGCGUAGACGGUUAUUUAAGUCGGGUGUGAAAGCCCCGGGCUCAACCUGGGAAUUGCAUUCGAGACUGAAUAGCUAGGGUACGGUAGAGGGAAGUGGAAUUUCCGGUGUAGCGGUGAAAUGCGUAGAUAUCGGAAGGAACACCGGUGGCGAAGGCGGCAUCCUGGACCGACAUUGACGCUGAGGCGCGAAAGCCAGGGAGCAAAGCGGG